GGCUUUAAAGAAGUCCCUCCCUGGCUACUUGCACCAGUGGAUUUGCUCAUUUGAAUGUUCUAUAUUUAAUCUUUAUUUAUAAUUCACAAGACAGCUUGAUUUCCCAAGAAGCCCACCCAACAAGAUUUCUGCCUCCACAGCCAGGGAGCACUAUCUCUGAAAAUACUCAGGCUUGGCAAAGCUUUUCCAAAAGGGAUUCAAAACCUUUGGUUCUUUCCUGAACACAUCUCUAAGCUGGAGUGCACAUCCAUCAGACUCCGUCCAUGUUAAGGACACGUCAUGGGUUUUAUUUCUUUUCUUAAAAGAAUAUUGCUCUUACAGGAAAUCAAUAGUCACAAGGCAAACUUCUUAGCUUCUCUGGAAGGGGGAACUUAGUUACCUUCAGAACUUUCCAUGCCAUACAUUCAGAAGAGUAUUCAGUAGUUGACAUUUCUAUUCAGCGAUGAGGCUUAUUGGGAGGGGAAAAGAUGGCACAGAAUACACCAAUCACUCCCCUGAAACAAAAUCACAUUAAAUUGUGUAAAUGGGACAAAA